rnacentral:rRNA from 1 species
AGAGUUUGAUCCUGGCUCAGGAUGAACGCUGGCGGCGUGCUUAACACAUGCAAGUCGAACGAAGCACCUUGGACAGAUUCUUCGGAUGAAGUCCUUAGUGACUGAGUGGCGGACGGGUGAGUAACGCGUGGGUAACCUGCCUCAUACAGGGGGAUAACAGUUAGAAAUGGCUGCUAAUACCGCAUAAGCGCACGGUACUGCAUGGUACAGUGUGAAAAACUCCGGUGGUAUGAGAUGGACCCGCGUUGGAUUAGCUAGUUGGCAGGGUAACGGCCUACCAAGGCGACGAUCCAUAGCCGGCCUGAGAGGGUGGACGGCCACAUUGGGACUGAGACACGGCCCAGACUCCUACGGGAGGCAGCAGUGGGGAAUAUUGCACAAUGGGGGAAACCCUGAUGCAGCGACGCCGCGUGAGCGAAGAAGUAUUUCGGUAUGUAAAGCUCUAUCAGCAGGGAAGAAAAUGACGGUACCUGACUAAGAAGCCCCGGCUAACUACGUGCCAGCAGCCGCGGU